UACAGGGGGUGCAAACGUUGCUCGGAAUUAUUGGGCGUAAAGCGCGCGUAGGCGGCUAUCUAAGUCGGAUGUGAAAGCCCCUGGCUUAACUGGGGAAGUGCACCCGAAACUGGGUAGCUAGAGUGCGAAAGAGGGUCGCGGAAUCCCCGGUGUAGAGGUGAAAUGCGUAGAUAUCUGGAGGAACACCGGUGGCGAAGGCGGCAUUCUGGACCGAUAUUGACGCUGAGGAGCGAAAGCCAGGGGAGCAAACGGG
rnacentral:rRNA from 1 species